rnacentral:rRNA from 1 species
UUUAGAGUUUGGAUCCUGGCUCAGGACGAACGCUGGCGGCGUGCCUAAUACAUGCAAGUCGAGCGGACAGAUGGGAGCUUGCUCCCUGAUGUUAGCGGCGGACGGGUGAGUAACACGUGGGUAACCUGCCUGUAAGACUGGGAUAACUCCGGGAAACCGGGGCUAAUACCGGAUGGUUGUUUGAACCGCAUGGUUCAAACAUAAAAGGUGGCUUCGGCUACCACUUACAGAUGGACCCGCGGCGCAUUAGCUAGUUGGUGAGGUAACGGCUCACCAAGGCAACGAUGCGUAGCCGACCUGAGAGGGUGAUCGGCCACACUGGGACUGAGACACGGCCCAGACUCCUACGGGAGGCAGCAGUAGGGAAUCUUCCGCAAUGGACGAAAGUCUGACGGAGCAACGCCGCGUGAGUGAUGAAGGUUUUCGGAUCGUAAAGCUCUGUUGUUAGGGAAGAACAAGUACCGUUCGAAUAGGGCGGUACCUUGACGGUACCUAACCAGAAAGCCACGGCUAACUACGUGCCAGCAGCCGCGGUAAUACGUAGGUGGCAAGCGUUGUCCGGAAUUAUUGGGCGUAAAGGGCUCGCAGGCGGUUUCUUAAGUCUGAUGUGAAAGCCCCCGGCUCAACCGGGGAGGGUCAUUGGAAACUGGGGAACUUGAGGUGCAGAAGAGAGAGU